GCGGCGGUCGCAUAGUCUGGCCAUUGCGUCGGAUUGCUAAUCCGAUGGUGUAAGCCGCGAGGGUUCGAAUCCCUCUCGCCGCG
rnacentral:tRNA from 1 species